rnacentral:misc_RNA from 1 species
UCCGGUUUGUCACCGGCAGUCUCCCUAGAGUGCCCUUGCGUAGCAACUAGGGACAAGGGUUGCGCUCGUUGCGGGACUUAACCCAACAUCUCACGACACGAGCUGACGACAGCCAUGCAGCACCUGUGUUACGGCUCCCUUUCGGGCACACCCCCAUCUCUGAGGGCUUCCGUACAUGUCAAGGGUAGGUAAGGUUUUUCGCGUUGCAUCGAAUUAAUCCACAUCAUCCACCGCUUGUGCGGGUCCCCGUCAAUUCCUUUGAGUUUUAAUCUUGCGACCGUACUCCCCAGGCGGGAUACUUAUUGCGUUAGCUACGGCACGAAGGGAUGACGUUUCCAGGUUAGG